rnacentral:lncRNA from 1 species
AAUUCAAGUGUCUGUAUUGGUGAAGGCAAAAGUCCUGCCUGAUUGAGGCCUCCAUAGCCUGUGACUCCAUCUGAGCAGUGUCCCUUCAGAAGCUGCUUAAACAUUUCCCUGAGCUUACAGAAUUGCACUGCACUCUGGCAAUCAAUCAGGGUUGCUGUUGCUCCACAUCCUCACCAGCAUCUGAUGUUGUCAGUUUUCUGGAUUUUGGCCAUCAUAGUAGGGACAAAAAGAAGGGAGCAGUUCAGCUACUUGAAGAAACCAAAUGGUAUGUUGAGGCAAAUUAAAACCAGAGAGUCAGUUGGAGAAGCCCAGAAGAGUAACACAGGUGUCAAAAUACAGACACAUCAGGGGAAAAGAAUGCAAAGCUCCUGCCAGGGCUCUGUCUUAACCAAGCAUCCAAUUAUCUUUUGGCUGCAAGAUUACAUUCUGAUUCCCUAUACUUCAAACUUGGUUUCUCUUUCACCCGGGAUACUUGCAGAGCCGGGCACCACUCAUGUGAUAAUGCCAGCUCUUAACAAGGAACAAAGUUUGAUGGAGAACAAAAUGCAAAGAUCAGGAGGACCCAGAGCCCAGAAAGGAAUAUAGAGAGGGAAUCCCUGGGAAGAGAAGAGGGCACAGCACUGAGAG